rnacentral:rRNA from 1 species
AUUGAACGCUGGCGGCAGGCCUAACACAUGCAAGUCGAGCGGAUGAAGGGAGCUUGCUCCUGGAUUCAGCGGCGGACGGGUGAGUAAUGCCUAGGAAUCUGCCUGGUAGUGGGGGAUAACGUCCGGAAACGGGCGCUAAUACCGCAUACGUCCUGAGGGAGCAAGUGGGGGGUCUUCGGACCUCACGCUAUCAGAUGAGCCUAGGUCGGAUUAGCUAGUUGGUGGGGUAAAGGCCUACCAAGGCGACGAUCCGUAACUGGUCUGAGAGGAUGAUCAGUCACACUGGAACUGAGACAGGGUCCAGACUCCUACGGGAGGCCGCAGUGGGGAAUAUUGGACAAUGGGCGAAAGCCUGAUCCAGCCAUGCCGCGUGUGUGAAGAAGGUCUUCGGAUUGUAAAGCACUUUAAGUUGGGAGGAAGGGCAGUAAGUUAAUACCUUGCUGUUUUGACGUUACCAGCAGAAUAAGCACCGGCUAACUUCGUG